GUACCCAUGGUGUAGUGGUUAUCACAAUCGCUUCACACGCGAGUGGUCCCGUGCUCGAUCUCUGGUGGGUACA